rnacentral:tRNA from 1 species
CAUCAAGAAGCUAAUUAAGCAUUAACCUUUUAAGUUAAAGAUUGAGAGUCAUUACCCUCUCCUUGAUGA